rnacentral:rRNA from 1 species
UUGACCUCAAAUCAGGUAGGACUACCCGCUGAACUUAAGCAUAUCAAUAAGCGGAGGAAAAGAAACUAACAAGGAUUCCCCUAGUAACUGCGAGUGAAGAGGGAAAAGCUCAAAUUUAAAAUCUGGCAGCUUCGCUGUCCGAGUUGUAAUUUAGAGAAGUGUUACCCGUGCUGGACCGUGUACAAGUCUCCUGGAACGGAGCGUCAUAGAGGGUGAGAAUCCCGUCUUUGACACGGACUCCCAGUGCAUUGUGGUACGCUCUCAAAGAGUCGUGUUGUUUGGGAAUGCAGCACUAAAUGGGUGGUAAAUUCCAUCUAAAGCUAAAUAUUGGCGAGAGACCGAUAGCAAACAAGUACCGUGAGGGAAAGAUGAAAAGAACUUUGGAAAGAGAGUUAAACAGUACGUGAAAUUGUUGAAAGGGAAACGCUUAAAGUCCAGUCGCGUUGGUUGGAAAUCAGUCUUGCUUCUGCUUGAUGUACUUUCUAACUGACGGGUCAGCAUCAGUUUUGACCGUUGGAUAAAGGUUGGAGGAAUGUGGCAUCUUCGGGUGUGUUAUAGCCUUCGAUUGUAUACAACGGUUGGGACUGAGG